AGAAACAACGCGAAAAAACGCGAGAAGAAUUCAGAGCGUCAUUUAAUGCACUYGGGCGCAAAGCUGCCAACAUGGACGACCCAAGCAAGAAAGAAUUGCUUAGAAUUACUAUGGCUUUACGUGAAGCCAACAAAAUCAGUCAACACCUCAAAAAGAAUAUCACAUUCAGCAGAGAUGAAGUCACAGUUGAUGGAAAGACUGUAACCAAAGUUCGACUGAAUGACACCAAGAAAGGUUUAACAACGCUUUGGACCCUGGAGAAGUUUGAAUCAAGACUGGACUUAAUGAGGG